UAGGAGAGUGUGAAGAGAAUGUCUGGUACAGGGGCAGGGACCAUUGAAGGAGAAAGGCCAAUGCAGGAUGGUGCUAGGAAGGAAGCCAUUGCAAGGGGGAAGCCCUCACAGCCAGCGAGGAUACUAAGUUCAGCAUCUUUCUACCACUCUAACAAAGGCAUCCUCCUGCUCCAGGUUGAAACUGAAACCACGUGGGCCUGCAUCAUCCUGGCAUCUCUCUGGAGACCACACAGCUGGAGGGAAGGCGUCGCAGGAGGCGGUCAAUGCAGAAGGAUGGAAGACAGUCACCUCCAGAUCUAGACGUCGCAGAACUAGAUGUUGCACUACUAGAACAACUCCCCUAGUGCAGCUGGGAAACUGGUAUGAUGCCUUAGCACCACUGGGAGACAGUAAAGCAAUGGAGGCCAUGUCCACAGCUACCACCAGACAGGCUGAGAGUCAACCGGGCAGCCAGAGGAGAAGACGUCUAGUCAUCAUGGUGGGUGACUCCCUCCUAAGAGGAAUGGAGGGAGCAAUCUGCUGCCUGGAUCCUGCAGUACAGGACAUGUGCUGCCUGCCCAAAGCUAGGAUUCAGGACAUCACAGCAAGGCUUCCAGACCUAAUCAGGCCCACUGACUACUACCCCAUGGUCCUCAUCCAUAUUGAAAUGAAUGAUGCGGCCCGGAGUAGUCUGGGACAGGUCAUGAUUGACUGCAUGACUCUGGGAGACAGGCUUAGAGGCUCAGGGACACAAGUAGUCUUCUCAUCGGUCCUUCUGGUCAGCUGCCACAGCCAGCACCACGGCAACGGCACUGAGGAGGUAAACUCACGGCUUCAGAGCUGGUGCCGCCACGCGGGGUUUGGCUUUCUAGACGAUGAUCCGUACUUCUAGGAUAAGACCUUGCUGGGACAGGAUGGCCUACAUCUCUCUCCAAAAGGGUAACAGCAAUGGGGCAAGAUUGUAAGUGGCUCUAAAGCAAACAGAUUAGCAUAAGAUAAGGCAUAAAGGAAGGUGCAUGUCAAGUGACCAGUUAGAAGGAUGGGACAGAAGGCCCAUCACUGUACCAAGUCUGGACCCUGGACUCCCAGUGUGAGUGAGAACCAGAUUCUGACCAAGAAAUCUUCCCAAUGACCCCUUGGACAGCAUUGAUUGGGGACGCCUGACUUCGCUGGAACAACUUGGCGCGCACCUGGCAUAGAAGGACUGACGAUAAGUGGCCAACCCCAUGUGGGAACUCUUUGUCAUUCAGUCUAUCUGUUGUUAUCAUUCACUAUUAGCUCUUUAUUACUGUACUAUCUGUUUGUCACAUUAACCUUUCUGUUAACUGUAUGCUAAGCUAUAAGUAAAUUUGCCUUUACUUCACUCCCAACUCACCUCCUUGAUCCUGAACCCAGCAGCCUAACAGCUGAUACACUCACAGCACCUAGCCGGCCUGUGACAGGUUUACAGCAGGCAGAUCCUGCCUGACUAACCUGGUCUCUUUUUAUGACCAGGUCACAAAGUGCUUAGAUGCAGGAGUGGAAGUAGAUAUUAUUUACCUGGUUUUUAAAAAGGCUUUUGACACUGUCGCACCCAAUUCUUAUGAGCAAACUAAGUAGCUGUGAUGUGGAUUUUUCCACAGUAAGGUGGGUGAAAAACUGGCUUAUGGGAUACACCCAGAGAGUGGUGGUGGAUGGGUCAGUUUCUCCCUGGAGGGAUGUG